rnacentral:lncRNA from 1 species
GGGCUACCGAUAAGGUUAUGUAGAUUGAUUUGGCACCUUCUGGGCUUAUGGGGGCCUAAGUAUGUGGUAUGUUGUUUGUACCUACCGGGCUUAUGGGGGCUUGGUUAGGUUGAUGUUUGAUCAUUAUUGUAUUUUAUUAGAUUCAGUAGUGGGUUGGCAUGCUUAUCUAAAUUUGAUUUCCUUACCUGAUUGCUUUUGGUAUAUUAUGAUACUUGCUCAUUUAGUCUACAACCUUUCAUACUCUG